GGUGAGGUGGCCGCAGAGGUUAGCGUGCCGGACUCAUAACCCGGAGAUCAGUGGUUCGAAUCCACUCCUCGCUA
rnacentral:tRNA from 1 species